UGGGGAAUCUUAGACAAUGGGCGCAAGCCUGAUCUAGCCAUGCCGCGUGAGCGAUGAAGGCCUUAGGGUUGUAAAGCUCUUUCGCUGGGGAAGAUAAUGACUGUACCCAGUAAAGAAGCCCCGGCUAACUCCGUGCCAGCAGCCGCGGUAAUACGGAGGGGGCUAGCGUUGUUCGGAAUUACUGGGCGUAAAGCGCGCGUAGGCGGAUUGGAAAGUUGGAGGUGAAAUCCCAGGGCUCAACCUUGGAACUGCCUUCAAAACUCCCAGUCUUGAGUUCGAGAGAGGUGAGUGGAAUUCCGAGUGUAGAGGUGAAAUUCGUAGAUAUUCGGAGGAACACCAGUGGCGAAGGCGGCUCACUGGCUCGAUACUGACGCUGAGGUGCGAAAGCGUGGGGAGCAAACAGG
rnacentral:rRNA from 2 species